rnacentral:precursor_RNA from 1 species
CUCGGAGAGCGCAGCUGUGGGCGUCGGUGUCAUGUACACGCACAGCACCUCACUGAGCU